rnacentral:lncRNA from 1 species
GCUGUGCUAGCAAUCAGCGAGACUCCGUGGGCUAGGACCCUCCGAGCCAGGUGCAGGAUAUAAUCUCAUUGUGCGCCGCUUUUUUAAGUCCGUUGGAAAAGCGCAGUAUUCGGGUGGGAGUGACCCGAUUUUCCAGGUGCCGUCCAUCACCCCUUUCUUUGACUCGGAAAGGGAACUCCCUGACCCCUUGCGCUUCCCGAGUGAGGCAAUGCCUCGCCCUGCUUCGGCUCCGGCACGGUGCGCGCACCCACUGACCUGCGCCCACUGUUUGGCACUCCCUAGCGAGAUGAACCCGAUACCUCAGAUGGAAAUGCAGAAAUCACCUGUCUUCUGCGUCGCUCAGGCUGGGAGCUGUAGAUUGGAGCGGUUCCUAUUCUGCCAUCUUGGCUCCUCCCUAUACUAUCUUCUAGUUUCUUAAGUUGUAAAGGAGCUCAUUCUAAGGAUUAUGGAGAUAAACCAUGGAAAGGGAUUUCAUUGUAAUACCCACGAUUGAGAUGGUUGGAGAUAAAGCCAUUAUCCAGUGAUAGUUCAUCAUGUUGAAGGAAUCCUGCUCAAUCAGAAGAACAGAUGGCCAUCUUCUGUCAGUACUUGAAGACUGUUUCUAAGAAACAUUAAGCCUCCAUCAGGCUCACUUGUUAAUGCAAAAGUCCCACUCAGGACAGAAGCUGGGACAAUCUUUGAAGUUGUCAGACAGGGGAUCUGCUGUAUUCCUGAGGCUGGAGUGCAGUGGUACAAUCUCAACUCACUGCAGCUUUUGUCUCCCAGGCUCAAGUGAUCUUUCCAUCUCAGCCUCCCUAGUAGCUGGGAUUACAGUUUGAUGAGAAAUAUUCCUGAAGACCAUUAAUCAGGGAUACAUGCUGCUGUGUGAUGAUCAUAAUACAUAGCUUGAGAGCACAGCAGUUAUCUCUCCACCUGAGGACUGACCCGAGGCUCCACUUUGAGAGUGCAGCCUGGUGCUCACUGCGGCAUGGACAGUCAGCAGGCCAGGCAGAGCCCGCCCACCCGCACUGCAGAAUGCCAUGGGUGACUCCCUUGCUGCUUGGUUUUUUAGCACUGGCAGAUGGGACCUCAUUGUUUCAAAGUUUCGCUUUGGAAAAUUCAGACAUUAAGGGUUAAUCUACAUUUUAAAGUAGUCGUCUUUGAAGGAAAUUAUGCUAUAAAUGAGAAACCUGUGUGGAGUUCUGGGUUCUUUAUGUUAGCUUUGGCAGGGCCAGGAGACUGUUUUGAUGAUAGAGCCAGCAUUGGAAACCUGUAUUUUAUCUCGCAGGAAAACGAAGCAAAUUUAAAACAUUCCGCAUUUGCCUUUUGACACCCCAUAACCAAAAGAUGAACUUUAAUUUCUGGGAGGCCUCCCAGUGAUUAAUGCCUUUACGUUUAUGACGUGAGAAGAAUGAGCCGUAUGUUACAGUUGGUCUUCUGUCCGUUUCUGAGGAGAGCCUGUGCCAGGAUUUUGAUGUGCACUCGCGUUCUGGCACCAGGCUGCACACUUCUCACCCAGCACAGAGCCAGCUCACAGAUCCUGUUCGGCACAGCGACUCCAGACAUACAGCAUGAAUUUGAAGGCGGCCUCCUCAAAUGUGGCAGGCACAGUCUCCCUCUUCCUAUUUGGAGCCUGUCUGUGGGGCUAGGACCUCUCUCAGCUGCCUGUAAAGCGGCCUUGGAGAGCUGUUUUUGCUAGCUACUUACUGCGACAGUCUCCGGGAAGGUGGGGCGUGGCCCUCCAGGGCAGCUUCACGAUUGUUUUCUGUUUCCUACCUUUACUGGUAAAAGGGAACUGUUACUUUUCUCUUUUCAUAUGUGGAAAUCGCAUGUUCCGCUGUCUUGGAGGGGACAGUAUUGGAGUGAAGACCUUUGGGGCCUUCUUUAAUUCCUGCAUCUCCUGUGGGAGACGAAUGACAUUCACUAAGCCCACGUGUGGUAGCUGUGAAUGCUGUCUACCAAAGAUUUUUGAUUCUCCUUCACUUUAUGGCUUCUGUUACGAUGGUACUUCCUCUUUCGUGUGUAGCCACACAACUUGCUUUGUUCAAUAAAUAUGGAUCAAAAGUGGCAUGUGUUACUUAGGACUGUAAACAUUAAGAGCUGGUGAAUAAGUUUCCACUCUCCCUUCUUGCUGCUGCCGUGACUGAAGAAGUCCCAGGUUGAGAUGAGGCGUCUGUCAGCCUGGGUCCCUGUGAGAGUCUGAAGAACAGAGCAUCCUUGCCCACCAGUGUCAGACAGAUGCCAUGAGGAAAAAAUAUAUGUGUUUUUGUUAACCACUGCGACUUGGGGAUUGUUUGCUACUGCAUCAUAAGUAAAGCCACUGCCCUGAAGCUCAAACAGUACAGAGACAGGCCCAUCUCCUUCUUGUUUCACUCUUCCUUUUUAGGUAUCAAUAACAUAGGUGAGUUUCUUCCAUGUGGAAAAGAGACAAACAAAGUUGGCUUUAGCAGGUCCACCAUCUUCCAGCUUUUCUCUCUGUGACAAGCUAGAGAGACCAAAAUCUAAAUCAAGAAGGGAAAUAGGCAAACCUGCUAUGUUCUUUAAUUAGCUUUACCGUGAACACAUUUACUACAUUUUCAUCCCCCUUGGUUCUUGUUCAUUACUUCUCACUUUGGUUAGGAGUACACAGGUAGGAAAAGUGCUGACGACUGUUUUCCAAAACCUCCAACACCUUAUAUAGCACACCACUUAGUCCUCUAUGUAGACAACAGGUAUAGCAUAGCAUGCUAUUUGUGUUGUUUCUUAAAGUCCUGAAAUGACAGCAGCCUAAUGGCUUAUAGAAGUGGUAGGCAGGCUGGGCGCGAUGGCUCACGCCUGUAAUCCCAGCACUUUGGGAGGCCUAGGUGGGUGGAUCACGAGGUCAGGAGUUCGCGACCAGCAUGGCCAACAAGGUGAAACCCCGUCUCUACUAAAACUAUAAAAAUUAGCCGGGCACAGUGGCAGGCACCUGUAAUCUCAGCUGCUCGGGAGGCUGAGGCAGGAGAAUUGCUUGAACCUGGAUGGCAGAGAUUGCAGUGAGCUGAGAUGGCACCACUGCACUCCAGCCUCGGUGACAGAGUGAGACUCCAUCUCAAAAAAAAAGAAAAAAAAAGUAGUAGUCAGAAUUCUAAGAUGGGCCCUAAAUUUCCAACCCAGGUGUGCAUAUUCUGUAUAUUCCCCUUCCCUUUGGUGUAUGAAUUAAAAUAUCAUUUGUGAGCCGGGAGCAGUGGCUCAUAUCUGUAAUCCCAGAACUUUGGGAAGCUGAACCCAGCAGAUCACUUGAGGUCAGGAGUUCAAGAUCAGCCUGGCCAACAUGGCGAAACCCUGUCUC